GAAACCAACAGUCUGUGCAAAAAGUGCAAUUCAUACAGAGACACAGUGAUUAGUAGAGAGACAAGUGAUUACAG